AAGUCGUAACAAGGUUUCCGUAGGUGAACCUGCGGAAGGAUCAUUAAAGAGUUUAGGGGUCCUAUGGCCCAACUCCAACCCUCUGUUGUUAAAACUACCUUGUUGCUUUGGGCGGGACCGUUCGGUCUCCCGAGCGGUUAACCCUCGGGUUGGCGAGCGCCUGCCAGAGUCCAACCAAACUCUUGUAUUAAACCCAGUCGUCUGAGUAUAAAAUUUUAAUUAAAUUAAAAA
rnacentral:misc_RNA from 1 species